UCUAUGAAUAUGCUGAUAAUCUGCAAUAUCUCCUGACAUGCAGUAGGAUAUUAAUUCAUGAUCUCCUGCAUCUUGAAGGGAGUGCCAAUCUUCAUUACAUAAGGAUCCUUGUCUGGGACGCACAACAGUAGGCAAUAAAACUAAAGUAAAAUAAAGUAAACAAAAUGAGACUUGCAGUCCGCAGUAUGAGGAGCAUUUUCGGUUAUAACAGGACCUGAUAAGAGGUUCAGUAUAGGGUAAAAUAGUGCGCACAGGUCCAAAAGUGGGUCAUCAUAAGCACAACAAAUCUAGCGAUUACAUCGACAAACUUUGUGGCUGCUUG